rnacentral:rRNA from 1 species
GUGAGGAAUAUUGGUCAAUGGGCGGGAGCCUGAACCAGCCAAGUCGCGUGAAGGAAGAAGGAUCUAUGGUUCGUAAACUUCUUUUGCAGGGGAAUAAAGUGCAGGACGUGUCCUGUUUUGUAUGUACCCUGAGAAUAAGGAUCGGCUAACUCCGUGCCAGCAGCCGCGGUAAUACGGAGGAUCCGAGCGUUAUCCGGAUUUAUUGGGUUUAAAGGGUGCGUAGGUGGUUUGAUGAGUCAGCGGUGAAAGUUUGCAGCUUAACUGUAAAAAUGCCGUUGAAACUGUCGGACUUGAGUGUAAAUGAGGUAGGCGGAAUACGUGGUGUAGCGGUGAAAUGCAUAGAUAUCACGCAGAACUCCGAUUGCGAAGGCAGCUUACUAAGCUACAACUGACACUGAAGCACGAAAGCGUGGGGAUCAAACAGGAUUAGAUACCCUAGUAGUCC